CUCUAUGGAAGGGGCAGCACUGGGCAACAGGACCCCAGAGAGAAGACCCCUCCUUGUCCUCAAGGACAGAGACCAGAGCCGGAGAAUAGAGGGGGAUUUCAAGGAUUUGGAUUUGGAGAUGGUGGCUUCCAGAUGUCUUUUGGAAUUGGGGCAUUUCCCUUUGGGAUAUUUGCCACAGCAUUUAAUAUAAAUGAUGGGCGGCCUCCUCCAGCUGUCCCUGGGACACCCCAGUAUGUGGACGAGCAGUUCCUGUCACGCCUCUUCCUAUUUGUGGCCCUGGUGAUCAUGUUCUGGCUCCUGAUUGCCUAAUGCUGGGCUCCUGCCUACAUCCGUGGCAGGGCUCUGGACUGGUGAUGUGCCACCCCAACUCCUGGUGUUUGGCUUCCUGGCUAAUCUUGACUCCUGGAAUCAGUGGGAUCAGUAACACAUCAAGGAGUCUUGUUUCUUCAUCAGAGCUUUGGAACUCGAGACCAGUUGGCGAUGACCCCUG
rnacentral:lncRNA from 1 species